rnacentral:rRNA from 1 species
UAGCUAGUUGGUGAGGUAAAGGCUUACCAAGGCGACGAUCUGUAGCGGGUCUGAGAGGAUGAUCCGCCACACUGGAGCUGAGGCACGGUCCAGACUCCUACGGGAGGCAGCAGUGGGGAAUUUUGGACAAUGGGGGCAACCCUGAUCCAGCCAUGCCGCGUGAGUGAAGAAGGCCUUCGGGUUGUAAAGCUCUUUCGGCCGGGAAGAAAUCGCAUGGGCCAAUACCCUGUGUGGAUGACGGUACCGGAAUAAGAAGCACCGGCUAACUACGUGCCAGCAGCCGCGGUAAUACGUAGGGUGCGAGCGUUAAUCGGAAUUACUGGGCGUAAAGCGUGCGCAGGCGGUUUUGUAAGACAGGCGUGAAAUCCCCGGGCUUAACCUGGGAACUGCGUUUGUGACUGCAAGGCUAGAGUACGGCAGAGGGGGGUGGAAUUCCACGUGUAGCAGUGAAAUGCGUAGAGAUGUGGAGGAACACCAAUGGCGAAGGCAGCCCCCUGGGUCGAUACUGACGCUCAUGCACGAAAGCGUGGGUAGCAAACAGGAUUAGAUACCCUGGUAGUCCACGCCCUAAACUAUGUCAACUAGGUGUUGGGUGGGUAAAACCAUUUAGUACCGUAGCUAACGCGUGAAGUUGACCGCCUGGGGAGUACGGCCGCAAGGUUAAAACUCAAAGGAAUUGACGGGGACCCGCACAAGCGGUGGAUGAUGUGGAUUAAUUCGAUGCAACGCGAAAAACCUUACCUACCCUUGACAUGCCAGGAACUUGCCAGAGAUGGCUUGGUGCCCGAAAGGGAGCCUGGACACAGGUGCUGCAUGGCUGUCGUCAGCUCGUGUCGUGAGAUGUUGGGUUAAGUCCCGCAACGAGCGCAACCCUUGUCGUUAAUUGCCAUCAUUUAGUUGGGCACUUUAACGAGACUGCCGGUGACAAACCGGAGGAAGGUGGGGAUGACGUCAAGUCCUCAUGGCCCUUAUGGGUAGGGCUUCACACGUCAUACAAUGGUCGGUACAAAGGGUUGCCAAGCCGCGAGGCGGAGCCAAUCCCAGAAAGCCGAUCGUAGUCCGGAUUGCAGGCUGCAACUCGCCUGCAUGAAGUCGGAAUCGCUAGUAAUCGUGGAUCAGCAUGUCACGGUGAAUACGUUCCCGGGUCUUGUACACACCGCCCGUCACACCAUGGGAGCGGGUUCCGCCAGAAGUAGGUAGCCUAACCGCAAGGGGGGCGCUUACCACGGCGGGGUUCGUGACUGGGGUGAAGUCGAAACAAGGUAGCCGUAGGGGAACCUGCGGCUG